CCGGAACAUAUCCAAGAAGGAGCACUAGGAGGCCCGUGGUUCUGCCAAUGCUCUUUUCCUUCUGACCCAAGAAUGCCAAUGUCCCAGAGGCCAGCCCGUCCUUGCAGAGAAAGGAGGCAUGCAGAGAGUCACAAUUAACCUGCAACCAACCAACCAAAUACACAGCUCACUACUAAGAACUGAAACUGGAAUUCAAACUCUUGAGCAUCUCUUGGUUAUCCCAAGUCCUUACAAGUAGGAUCCUCCUUCUGGCAAAGUUUGUAUGAAAGGAAUAGGAAUUUCAUCUUCAAAGAGACCUGGAAACUGUCAAUCUGAGUCCAGUACCAGCCACAGCCAGCAUCAUAGUGUCAAUUACCAUGGCUUCCAUACAGUGUAAGACCAGCCAGCAGACUGUCACCCCACUGAACUAAACAUCAACACAAAGAGAGAAGUCUCACCACGGAGACUUGGUUUUUAAACACCUGAAUUAAAGAUAUUUUUUCUACUCAGCCCUGGCUCAGAACCCAAAACUUUCUGAAGCUGACAAGAAAAUGGCAAAAGCAAAACGUAAACAUUGUCAGUGCUUAUAAUAAAUGGUAGUUAAUAAAACUUGAAAAGAUUAUAGCUCAGAAAUUUACUUCCUCUGUUUCCCAUUAUUGAAUAAUUUAUUAUAUGAAAUCUAUUGACCUUUCUUUGGGCUUCUGCUCCACCCCAGAGGAAGCAGGAGGGUUAAUUAUGGUUUAGCUGGGGAUUUUUAAGCAACAUUAGCAUACAAAUAGGACAUCAAUAACCAAUUACAAUCUUUGCCUUGGAAAAGCAGUUCUCUUUCAUUGCCUCUGUGACUGCUAACUCAACCACUUAAAGGUC
rnacentral:lncRNA from 1 species